ACUCAACAACAUGAAUACAGAGACAUAAAUCCAGAGUCAUGACAGUUAGAAGAAAUUACUCAAAAGAGCAUGCAUGAGCAUAGUUCUUAGGUUUGUGGCAGCCUGUAAAGAAAAGUUAUUUUUGAAAGUAUAAAAACGUACUGAUGAGGGCUGUAGUUGGCAGCAUCGACAACAAGCGUUGGGCUGAUUGCCUGAUUAGCACCUUGUUACUCCUUCUGUUUAUGUCCGUGUGAUAGAGAUUGCCGAGGAUUGUUAAGCGCCCAGUAGGGUGACGUUCUCUUACAUCUGUGCUUUUUGCAGAUGUGUUGUUAGUCUGAUUAAAUCAGUUUGUGUUCACAAGCAUGUGUUUUUCAACGUAUUCUCAUCCCAGGCCACUAAAUACAGCUUGGCUUUGUAACUCCCCUCAGCGUCUCUUUAGUGUCUAUGUGCAGUGUCAAAGCCUUCCUGUCAGAACGCCAUGUGCUUAAAGCUAAAUAAGACAACUCUGGAAAAAGACAAUUGCGCUGGCGAUGGAGUUUCUCAGGCUUCAGCAGGGAAACCAGAGAUGACUGCUGAAAAUCUGAUUAACUUCAUUUUGGAGGGGAGCAAAACUACGCUGAGAGAACGGAGAGUUGCUGAGACACAUACAGACACUCCAGCACUUCACCUUGGACCCUACUCAUGUCACACUAAUGAAGAAGACCAGCAAGACACCCUAAAGUCCUCAGCACUAUCCAGAAGUACAUCAAGAUUCACAGAGAUGCACCAGGAGGUUCUAAGAUUUGGCUGCAACUGAGGAGCAGGUAUCAUCCAGUGCAGAGAAACCCUCUCCUGUGGUGUUAUCUCCACCAGCACCCCCCCGCUGAGCCGCCAUCUAUUGAGGUUCAGGCCAGGAUUUAUAUAAAGGAGCAGCCCAGCCUGGAUGAAAAGCCUGACCAGAUGACCUGAUGUGGUUCCAGAUCCACAGACACCCCGCUGAACCUUCAAGUAUUAGGGUUCAGGCCAGGGUGAAUAUAAACAAUCUGUGGUAUUUUGUUUGCUCUCUAUUAAAUGCUCAGUAUUUAAAUGAAA